rnacentral:rRNA from 1 species
UACGAGGGGGGCGAGCGUUAUUCGGAAUUAUUGGGCGUAAAGGGUGCGUAGGCGGUUUGGUAAGUCUUAUGUGAAAUCUAUGGGCUCAACUCAUAGUCUGCAUGAGAAACUGCCGGGCUUGAGUAUGGGAGAGGUGAGUGGAAUUCCUGGUGUAGCGGUGAAAAUGCGUAGAUAUCAGGAGGAACACCUAUGGCGAAAAGCGGCUCACUGGACCAUAACUGACGCUGAUGCACGAAAAGCUAGGGGGAGCAAUCAGG